rnacentral:lncRNA from 1 species
AAACCAAUUGUCAUUGUUAUGCCUUUUUGUCAACAAACCAACCCGUAGGUGCUGCUGCCAGAAUGCGAUGACGAUGAUGAUGAUGAUGAUGAUGAUGAUGAUGAUGGAGUAGAUGAGCCUGAUGGUUCCAGGCCUUCCUUGGGCCGAAGGGGAGGGCCUUGUGGUGAUGUGACUGCAGCAGAGGCCUCGGACAGCACUAGUGAGGACGGCAACAAUCCCCUUUCCACCUCACUUGAACCCAAGUAUUUCUCCCAGAGCAUCCACCAGGACCAAGAGGAUUCAGAUGAUGGCUGGCACCAUUGCCCCGACAACCUGGAGAUUCAACAAGGAGCCAAUGGCAGUCACAGUGUGGUGUACCAGAAUGAAGAAGGGCAGUGGGUGACUGACCUGGCAUAUUACUCCUCCUUUGAGAAAGAGGUUGAUGGGAAGACAUCAGAGAAUGUUUCCCAUUUUCAGACUGAGGACUUCGUUCCUGCCAGUGACGCUAUGGAAAAGAUGGCCAAGGAUCAAGAGGAAUUUGAGAAGGAGCACCAAUUCAUGCAGG